rnacentral:rRNA from 1 species
CGAACGCUGGCGGUGUGCUUCAUACAUGCAAGUCGAACGAGAAAGUCCCCUUCGGGGGGUGAGUAAAGUGGCGAACGGGUGCGUAACACGUGAGCAAUCUGCCUCAAAGCUGGGGAUAACCUUCCUAACGGGGGGCUAAUACCGGAUGUGUUUACCGGGUGGCAUCGCCUGGUGAAUAAAGAUGGCGUGCUGAGCGCUAUCACUUUGAGAUGAGCUCGCGGCCUAUUAGCUUGUUGGUGGGGUAAUGGCCUACCAAGGCGACGAUGGGUAGCCGGCCUGAGAGGGUGACCGGCCACAUUGGGACUGAGAUACGGCCCAGACUCCUACGGGAGGCAGCAGUAGGGAAUAUUGCGCAAUGGGCGAAAGCCUGACGCAGCAACACCGUGUGAGCGAUGAAGGCCUUCGGGUCGUAAAGCUCUGUCAGGUGGGAAGAAACCCGGUUGGUGGAGAAUAUCAACCGGCUGACGGUACCACCAGAGGAAGCUCCGGCUAACUCC